UUGACAGUUAUCUUUACAAGUAAAUCAUUUAGGCUACAUGACUGUACUGACAUUAACCCGUCUCUCAUCUCAGAUUACAGACAAUACAAGGGUGUGCUCCAUACAUUUCACCGAUGAUUGCAUUGUUAGGUCACUCGUAGGUUUAAAAAAAACUGAAGAGUGGGAGUGUGCCGUCUCUGUUUUCAUGGUGUCAGCCGAAAGUCAGAAGGGUCAUUCAACGCCACCAAAGUGAUACUGGUAACAUUGGUGAGGAAAACAUUUCAGAUAGGCCUCUGCAUGAUGAGGAAAAUUCCAUACAGGUUUCAGAGGCAGUGCCUGACCAUGACUAUGUGGUGAACUCCUUGUCUGUGGAAGAACAGCUUGAAGCGGCAAAGAGAGAGAUUGCC